AACGCACCUUGCGCUCCUUGGUAUUCCGAGGAGCAUGCCUGUUUGAGUGUCAUUAAAUUCUCAACCUAACACCUGUUUUUCAAUGGGUUUUGUUAGGCUUGGAUAUGGGGGCUUGCAGGUCCGCUCUUUUGUGGUCUGCUCCUCUGAAAUGCAUUAGUGGGUUUGUGCCCCUCAUCUAUUGGUGUGAUAAUUAUCUACGCCGUGGGUGAUGGAUUGGCCAUCAAUGAACCUGCUCAUAACCGUCCGUCUCGGACAACUUUGAUCAUUUUGACCUCAAAUCAGGUAAGACUACCCGCUGAACUUAA
rnacentral:misc_RNA from 1 species